rnacentral:rRNA from 2 species
GCAAGUCGAGCGAACUGAUUAGAAGCUUGCUUCUAUGACGUUAGCGGCGGACGGGUGAGUAACACGUGGGCAACCUGCCUGUAAGACUGGGAUAACUUCGGGAAACCGAAGCUAAUACCGGAUAGGAUCUUCUCCUUCAUGGGAGAUGAUUGAAAGAUGGUUUCGGCUAUCACUUACAGAUGGGCCCGCGGUGCAUUAGCUAGUUGGUGAGGUAACGGCUCACCAAGGCAACGAUGCAUAGCCGACCUGAGAGGGUGAUCGGCCACACUGGGACUGAGACACGGCCCAGACUCCUACGGGAGGCAGCAGUAGGGAAUCUUCCGCAAUGGACGAAAGUCUGACGGAGCAACGCCGCGUGAGUGAUGAAGGCUUUCGGGUCGUAAAACUCUGUUGUUAGGGAAGAACAAGUACAAGAGUAACUGCUUGUACCUUGACGGUACCUAACCAGAAAGCCACGGCUAACUACGUGCCAGCAGCCGCGGUAAUACGUAGGUGGCAAGCGUUAUCCGGAAUU